rnacentral:rRNA from 1 species
AACGAACGCCGGCGGCAUGCCUAACACAUGCAAGUCGAACGCCAUGGUUUCGGCCAUGGAGUGGCGCACGGGUGAGUAACGCGUGGGAACCUGCCCAGCAGUAUGGGACAACCGCGGGAAACUGCGGCUAAUACCGUAUACGCCCGUCUUUGGGAGACCAGGGGCGGGGAAAGAUUGAUCGCUGUUGGAGGGGCCCGCGUCGGAUUAGGUAGUUGGUGGGGUAAAGGCCUACCAAGCCUGCGAUCCGUAGCUGGUCUGAGAGGAUGAUCAGCCACACUGGGACUGAGACACGGCCCAGACUCCUACGGGAGGCAGCAGUGGGGAAUAUUGGACAAUGGGCGCAAGCCUGAUCCAGCAAUGCCGCGUGAGUGAUGAAGGCCUUAGGGUUGUAAAGCUCUUUCACACGCGACGAUGAUGACGGUAGCGUGAGAAGAAGCCCCGGCUAACUCCGUGCCAGCCGCCGCAGUAACAC